UGAAGGCUGGAGUUGUGUGCUGCCCGGCUUUGGCUAGCUAGCUAGCUUCGUCGUAUUGAGUUUUGGUCUUCUCUUUCUCAACAGCAGCCUGCAGUCUGUAUGUAAUAAACGUGUUCCAGGGUGAUUUUCAUUUGUUAGGAAUACUCCUACCUCGGUCUCAAAAUAUAAGAUAGCACUACUUAAAAAAAAACCUUAAUAGGUGUUAGUUGGAAAACCCUAUAGGUGCCGGUUUUUAUCAGCACCAUGGAGGUGGUACUGAUUAGAGGAUAUAGAUGUGUCGAUUUAGAAACCGACACCUUUGAGGUAUGCGAUUUUAAAAAAAAAACCCGGCUUUGCUCAAAUUGAGCCGAGAUGAUGCUCCAAAGCACCAGAAAUAGAUCCAAAAAUCAAAAAAAAAGGAGAAAACUAACAUCGGAUAAUCAACAAGAAGUUUAUGGAGCAAAUGUUCAUCAAAUAUUCACAUCAUUGAAUAAAACAUCAUAAAAAUCACCAACAAAUCAUGUAGUCGGGUGGCCGUCGGCUAGAUCCAUCGGACAAAAGCUUCUUCUAGAUCUAGAAACGAAGAUAGGUUAAGGUAGAAUGAGAUGGAGGGAGAAAGAAAGAGGAUGCAAGUUAUCAUGGGUGCUCACCAGAGACAGAAGCAGUAGGACAUGUCGGCCACCACUGCUCGCCGAAUAGAGAGGAGAGGCCAUGGCAGGCGAGGGGAGGCGGACGGAGAGGCCGCCGGAUCUAGCGGUGGGAAGCCUACCGCCGUCGCCUCCCCUUGGAUCUGGCGAAGGGGAGGGUGCCGCAGCCGCCCGUGGGAGACCGCCGUUGCCGCCGAAUAGAGAGGAGAGGCCAUGGCAGGCGAGGGGAGGCGGACGGAGAGGCCGCCGGAUCUAGCGGUGGGAAGCCCACCGCCGUCGCCUCCCCUUGGAUCUGGCGAAGGGGAGGGUGCCGCAGCCGCCCGUGGGAGACCGCCAUUGCCGCUAGACCGCCGUUGCUACCACCGCUUCACGAGAGAGGCAUGAUGAGAGAGAGACGCGCAAGAGAGAGGGGAACGAUCAGAUCGAGAGAGAGAGACAAACUUAUCUCCUCACCACGCGCUCCACCAAGUCCUACAAUUCUAAAGAAAAAAAAAUUAGGAGGGAAAGACCAAACAUUUUUAAGAGAUUGUGAUUGUCCUGGGGAUUCAACACGGGAUCAUAGGGUUGAAACACACACGUAUUGCCACUCAAAUCCUCCAAUUCUCAUGUAGAUGGGC
rnacentral:lncRNA from 1 species